CAACUUUUUUUAUUUUUCUCAAUUGUUGUUUGGUUUCCAUUUGAAAAAACCGAAAAAGCUCUAAUUUUUCUUGAGCUCCAUCAAAAAGGGGAUUGCAGGAAAGAGCAUCAUCGUUGCCAUGUCGCGGCAUAGAUCCAGAAGAUUAGAACUACCUCCGGCUCAAGAGGUACGAUACCCAUCAAUCUUCUCUUUUCAUUUUUGGGUCCAAACUGAACAAAAGUGAAAAUCUCAUCAUAGUAAUUUAGCCCUUUUCAUGGUUUCAUCUUGUGUAGUCUAAGUGAAACGAAAAGUUUUGUUUUUUAUAAUUCUAAUGCUUAUUGAUUUUAUAUUGGUUUUGUUUCUUUAACAACAAAAAUGGAAACUUUUGUUGUAACGCUUUUUCUGCUGCAGUACCCGAUGUUGCAUUUGGCUGAAAAAUCAUGUUUUUGGAUGAUUUUGAUUUGCUUGAAUCACAAACACAUUGUUUUGAUUUAUUAUUACUAUUAUUAUAUUAAUUUUUAUUUCUAGCGGGUAUGGUUUUGUUGCUACUAUAUAAAAGGGAAACAGAUUCUGCAUAGCAUGAGUUACGUUUUACUCAUUUACUUCACUUUUGAAUCGUUCUCUGGUUUUCUUAAGCCCUUUUAUCUUCUUAGUUACUGUUGAAUCCUGUGUUUGGUAUUCCCCAUUUCCUUCCCAUUAUCCUUGUUUGCACCAUGGAGCAGUAGCAGUAUUCUACAGUAGUGACAAUUGCACACUCUUGACGUAUUUUCAUGCAAAACAAUUGGAUAAAUAAUACUGUGGUCCCAUUGUGACUUCUUAUUUGCAUCUUUGGUUGUUCAUAUUACCUCACACAGUUUCUGCAAAUGUCUCUGUUUUUUUAAGGGCUAGGUCUUCUUAUAAGCAUUGUGUUGCCUAUGCUCUUCUUUUAUUGUCAUUUUUCUUUAAGGAUUUUCCUAUUUCUUAUGCUGAAAUGCAGAAUAUUGAAAAAUUGGAGAAAGUUAUAAAUGAGGGCAACCAUAAACCCUAAUGCCAUAAAGAUGACUACCACCACCACCACCGACGCAGCCUCAUCGGAAGCUCAGCUGCUGAAAACGGUGACCACCAUCCUCACCAGCCACCGUGACCCCCACACCGCACUCAAACCCUUAAUCCAAAAUCUCACCCUCCCCACGGUGCUUUCCGUCCUCUCCUCCACCCAACUCCACCGCACCCACUCCGCCACCCUCCUCUCCUUCUUCCACAUCUUCUGCCACUCUCCCCACCCUUCUCUCUCCUCCUC
rnacentral:lncRNA from 1 species